rnacentral:rRNA from 1 species
GAUGAACGCUGGCGGCGUGCCUAAUACAUGCAAGUCGAGCGAAUGGAUUAAGAGCUUGCUCUUAUGGAGUUAGCGGCGGACGGGUGAGUAACACGUGGGUAACCUGCCCAUAAGACUGGGAUAACUCCGGGCAACCGGGGCUAAUACCGGAUAACAUUUGGAACCGCAUGGUUCGAAAUUGAAAGGCGGCUUCGGCUGUCACUUAUGGAUGGACCAGCGUCGCAUUAGCUAGUUGGUGAGGUAACGGCUCACCAAGGCAACGAUGCGUAGCCGACCUGGGAGGGUGAUCGGCCACACUGGGACUGAGACACGGCCCAGACUCCUACGGGAGGCAGCAGUAGGGAAUCUUCCGCAAUGGACGAAAGUCUGACGGAGCAACGCCGCGUGAGUGAUGAAGGCUUUCGGGUCGUAAAACUCUGUUGUUAGGGAAGAACAAGUGCUAGUUGAAUAAGCUGGCACCUUGACGGUACCUAACCAGAAAGCCACGGCUAACUACGUGCCAGCCGCCGCAGUAA